rnacentral:tmRNA from 1 species
GGGGGUGCAAUGGUUUCGACGGGGGUCACUUAUUUCGGGGCAGCCAUCCGUAGGCUCGGAUACUACGUAAAAAGCCGAACAAUUUUUAAACGCUGAAGAUAAUUUAGCUUUCGCUGCUUAAUUGCAGCUAGUCUCCUCUAAGUAACCCGCAGCUUAGUACGAGGCUAUAACCCAAACGCGGGCAACUUUUAUGCCUAAGCUUUGCAGCAUAACCGUACCCCAUGAAGCUACUAAAGCCACCAGCCUGUCACUGGGCGUGUGGUAGAGGGAAUGUCAAACUAGUGAAUAUGAUGGUAGAGACCACGACCUACGGGCUUUCGGACAGGGGUUCAAUUCCCCUCACCUCCAUGG